rnacentral:rRNA from 1 species
GACGAACGCUGGCGGCGUGCUUAACACAUGCAAGUCGAACGGAAAGGCCCUGCUUGCAGGGUCCUCGAGUGGCGAACGGGUGAGUAACACGUGGGUGAUCUGCCCUGCACUUCGGGAUAAGCCUGGGAAACUGGGUCUAAUACCGGAUAGGAGCCAUUUUUAGUGUGAUGGUUGGAAAGUUUUUUCGGUGUAGGAUGAGCUCGCGGCCUAUCAGCUUGUUGGUGGGGUAAUGGCCUACCAAGGCGGCGACGGGUAGCCGGCCUGUGAGGGUGGACGGCCACAUUGGGACUGAGGGACGGCCCAGACUCCGACGGGAGGCAGCAGGGGGGAAGAUUGCACAAUGGGCGCAAGCCUGAUGCAGCGACGCCGCGGGGGGGAUGACGGCCUUCGGGUUGUAAACUCCUUUCGCUAGGGACGAAGCUUUUUGUGACGGUACCUAGAUAAGAAGCACCGGCUAACUACGUG